rnacentral:rRNA from 1 species
GACGAACGCUGGCGGCGUGCCUAAUACAUGCAAGUAGAACGCUGAAGGAGGAGCUUGCUUCUCUGGAUGAGUUGCGAACGGGUGAGUAACGCGUAGGUAACCUGCCUGGUAGCGGGGGAUAACUAUUGGAAACGAUAGCUAAUACCGCAUAAUAGUAGAUGUUGCAUGACAUUUACUUAAAAGGUGCAAUUGCAUCACUACCAGAUGGACCUGCGUUGUAUUAGCUAGUUGGUGGGGUAACGGCUCACCAAGGCGACGAUACAUAGCCGACCUGAGAGGGUGAUCGGCCACAAUGGGACUGAGACACGGCCCAGACUCCUACGGGCGGCAGCAGUAGGGAAUCUUCGGCAAUGGACGAAAGUCUGACCGAGCAACGCCGCGUGAGUGAAGAAGGGUUUCGGAUCGUAAAGCUCUGUUGUAAGAGAAGAACGAGUGUGAGAGUGGAAAGUUCACACUGUGACGGUAUCUUACCAGAAAGAGACGGCUAACUACGUG